rnacentral:lncRNA from 1 species
GAUCUUAUUAGGGUUUAAAGGCCGAGAAGCUUGGGAAAGCACCAGGAGGAGAUAGGAGGAACCCAAGAGAAACUUAACUUGGUUAAUUCAGCAGUGGGGAAGGGGCCAGGAGAAGAUAGGAGAAACCUAAGGGAAACUUACCUUCUUCAUAUAGAUUAAUUCAGAAAUCUUCUGAUUUCCGUUGAGUGGUAGGCUCGAACUUAUGACUUUGCAUAGUAAAGAGAGGAGCAUUGCUACACCUACAAAGAACUCUC